UAAGCGAAGGGGGCUAGCGUUGCUCGGAAUCACUGGGCGUAAAGCGCACGUAGGCGGAUUGUUGAAGUCAGGGGUGAAAUCCUGGAGCUCAACUCCAGAACUGCCUUUGAUACUGGCGAUCUUGAGUCCGGGAGAGGUGAGUGGAACUGCGAGUGUAGAGGUGAAAUUCGUAGAUAUUCGCAAGAACACCAGUGGCGAAGGCGGCUCACUGGCCCGGUACUGACGCUGAGGUGCGAAAGCGUGGGGAGCAAACAGG
rnacentral:rRNA from 1 species